rnacentral:lncRNA from 1 species
AUAGCGUCCGGUAGCGACACGGAGCCGGCUCCCCCUUUUCCAGCCUUCCUCCCCAUCUCCCAUUCUCCAUCCCCCACGACCUAUACCAGAGGUCCUUAGGCCUCCACGUCUCUCCUUUUGCCGAGUAGCCCAAGGUUUCCACCCAUCUGCCAGGUCUGGGGCGUCAAGUCGGCUGCCUCGGCUUGGGAAGGGGGAUGGCGUCCACUCCGAUGGGGAAUGAGGGGGAGAAGAAGAGCAGCUGGCCAUCUCAAGCUGCACCCUCCUUGAGAGGAGGUCCGGCUUCGUUAUCUCGUUCUGAGGAAUACCUGUCCCAGAUCAGUGCAGAACUCAUGGAGGAGGCUUUGUGCACUGCUUGCUGCCACUUGAACCCUGUGCCCAUCAAAAAAAAGCAGUCACAAGACCAAGCGACUCAGAUAUCCAAACGCGGUAACCCCCUGCCUCAGGACCACCGUGUCUAGAGAACCGCUGCCCCCACUAUGCCUGGUUACAGUCCCUGACCCCUCCCACCCCUAGCUGAACUCUCCAGGAGUCUGUGCCCAUCUCAUCCAUCUCACAGCCAGCCCUAGGACCUGUGAAAUGCCCCUCUCACCCGCUAACCCAGUACCCACUCCUCACUGCUGGCCGAGAAUCCCCUUAGCCCCGUCUGCCCUGGCCGCAUCUCUUCUGGCCACGGGGAUAGUCCUUUCUCUGACUAGGUCCUCUACUUCCAGCAUUCUUCACCAAGACCUGAGGCACAGACACCUGGUGAGUGAGGCUUCAAGGGAGAUGCUCUUUGUCCUGGGAGAGAGCCCUCUCCCCUCUCUUCCACCAUCUCCUGCUCGGACAGAAACCGUACCUGCAGCAAGGCAUACCUCCUGCCAACUCCUGGUGAAAAGAACAUGCCUCAAAACUACUCUUUUGCCACUCGUUAACCACUUCCGUUUGUGGGGACCUCCUGGUCAUGAGCAGCAUCAUCCCGAAGCCUUCAAAGUGUUCUGGAUUCAUCACAGGACCCUCCAGCCUCAGCCAGCAAGGAUACCACCAGGAAUGAAAGUGCUUUAAUAAAGAGACAGGGUGUGCAUU